rnacentral:rRNA from 1 species
UCCUACGGGUGGCUGCAGUGGGGAAUUUUGGACAAUGGGCGCAAGCCUGAUCCAGCCAUGCCGCGUGAGUGAAGAAGGCCUUCGGGUUGUAAAGCUCUUUCAGACGGAAAGAAAUCUCUUGGGUUAAUACCCUGGGAGGAUGACGGUACCGUAAGAAGAAGCACCGGCUAACUACGUGCCAGCAGCCGCGGUAAUACGUAGGGUGCGAGCGUUAAUCGGAAUUACUGGGCGUAAAGCGUGCGCAGGCGGUGAUGUAAGACAGAUGUGAAAUCCCCGGGCUCAACCUGGGAACUGCGUUUGUGACUGCAUCACUCGAGUACGGCAGAGGGAGGUGGAAUUCCGCGUGUAGCAGUGAAAUGCGUAGAUAUGCGGAGGAACACCGAUGGCGAAGGCAGCCUCCUGGGCCAGUACUGACGCUCAUGCACGAAAGCGUGGGGAGCAAACAGGAUUAGAUACCCGAGUAGUCC